GUGACAACUUUGGUCGUACAUAUUCUAAGAUUGGAAUGAUAGAGAAGAUUAGCAUGGCCCCUGCAAAAGGAUAACAUGCAAAAUCGUGAAGCGUUCCUUAUUUAA